AGUGAACGCUGGCGGUAGGCCUAACACAUGCAAGUCGAACGGCAGCACAGUAAGAGCUUGCUCUUACGGGUGGCGAGUGGCGGACGGGUGAGGAAUACAUCGGAAUCUACUUUUUCGUGGGGGUUAACGUAGGGAAACUUACGCUAAUACCGCAUACGACCUACGGGUGAAAGCAGGGGAUCUUCGGACCUUGCGCGGUUGAAUGAGCCGAUGUCGGAUUAGCUAGUUGGCGGGGUAAAGGCCCACCAAGGCGACGAUCCGUAGCUGGUCGGAGAGGAUGAUCAGCGACAUUGGAACUGAGACACGGUCCAUACUCCUACGGGAGGCAGCAGUGGGGAAUAUUGGACAAUGGGCGCGAGCCUUAUCCAGCCAUACCGCGUGUGUGAAGAAGGCCUUCGGGUUGUAAAGCCCUUUUGUGGGGAAAGAAAAGCAGCAGGUUAAUACCCCGCUGUUCUGACGGUACUCAAAGAAUAAGCACCGGCUAACUUCGUG
rnacentral:rRNA from 1 species